rnacentral:tRNA from 1 species
UUCCUGGUGGCUCAGAGGUCAAAGUGUCUGCCUCCAAUGCAGGAGACUCAGGUUCAAUCCCUGGGUUGGGAA